rnacentral:tRNA from 1 species
GGUCUGGUAGUUCAGUGGUUAGAAUAUAUGUCUGUCAAGCAUAAUGUCGCGAGUUCGAGUCUCGUCCAGACCG